rnacentral:rRNA from 1 species
AUGAGACCUGAUACUCCUUGGAUUGUCGGCUUGACCUCGCUCAUGGUUGCCUGGUUCGUCAACCCCAUCUUAGCCUAUUAUGUUCCCAAGAUCCUUUCCGCAAUCGGCUUGGGCGCGUCCAAGAGGCUCUCAGAUCUGGAGACCCACAUCAUCCCGGAGCUGAAGAAGACGCUGUGUGGCGUAGAUCAAGCAAGGAUGAUGGAGCGAGAAAGUAAAGAGAAAGACGAUCUGGCCAUGCUGAACAAGAUGGCCGCCAGGCUGAGGCACGCCCUUGAGGAUGCGGAAGACAUCUCCGAUGAUCAGCAGGAGAUCGAGUCGUACCGCAACACGUUUCCGCAGUGCCUCUGGAGCGGAUUGAACAUCGGCUGGGGGUGGAUUGCACCCAUCGUCUGGAGCGGACAGGCUUGGCUAUGGCGGUGGGUGCGGAAGAUAUCCUUCCGUCUCUCGGAGGUGACUGCCAAUGCGGCGGCCACCUGUGUUGUGAUCUGCAUGCCGGUUACGCAAAUCGUUCGGAGUGGAUUUGAUAGCCUACUGCAAUGGGCGCAGAUGAUAUCCAGCGCCGUGGCCACCUGUGUUGCUGGCUUCAACAUAAGCUGCACAUGUAUUGCAGACAUCCUCCAGAGUGCAAGGACCCGCCUAUCGAUGUUGGCCUUGCGUGGGUCAAACCAUAGACUUCCAGAGUACAGACGGCCCGUUACAGGGACCAGUGUUGCUGCCUCUGAUGAAACGGCGCUCCCGGACCCGGAGAUAUAUUCAGAACGUGUGGUGGACUCAGAUGGAACCUCACGCGAACCAGUACCAGAGAUUUGCUCAGAGGGCACCGUCUCAGAUGAACCUAGUACUUCUGCUCUCUUGCAUGGGCCAGACGAUAGACUUCAUGUGACCGACAAUAAUGUUACCCACUCUCACCAGCGCGUUCCAGGGACCAAUGUUUCUGCCUUAGAUGAAACAAUCCCAGCAGAGAUACAUCCAGAGGCUGAACCUCGGACUACAAGUGAACUUGCUCCAGACGAACCAGCUUUGUUGGAUACCAAUGAUGCCGCCUCACAGGGAGCAGUCCCAGAGAAUAGCAUUACUCGUUUCAGCAUGUGGAUUGCUUCCUUGGGGCCAUGGCUCUCUCGUUGCCGCACCUCCAUACACAAUGCAUCGGAGAACGCGACUACUUUUCGAGACGAAACCUGCGAGGGUAUUGGCUUCACAAGUCACAAGGAGGAUGCCAGUGCGUUAGAUUCUGUUCUUACUGUUAUCUCAAUAUGGAAACUGAAGAGAAAAAUAAAGAAGAUAGAAAGCACGGGCGAUGAUGUGAAGAAGUCACCACUCUAUGUUGUAGCAAAGGAGAGCGAACUGGAAGAUAUUGCCAACAAGAAUAGGCCCAACAUUACAACUGCUAGCAAUCAGAUGGUAUUUGGCCGACAGAGCUUGCUUGAUGUGGUCGUAAAAAGGCUUCUCAACCAACCAACCAGCUCAGGUAAAUGUUACUCGGCGUUUGGGAUUCAUGGUGUUUCAGGUUCUGGGAAGACUACCUUUGCACGAUAUACUAGAGAUUACAUAAAGAACCAAAAACAAUUUGACCCCAUCAUGUGUGUCCACCUAUCCAAGAAUUCCAGUGUGGAUGGUAUAUUUCAGAAAAUGCUGGAUGAUAUUGCCAGAGAACAGCACACCAAUAUUUCUGAUGGUGAGAAGCUGCAAGAGAAGUUAGAGGAAUCAGUGCAAGGUAAGAAUGUGAAAGACAAGUUGGAAAAUUCAUUGCGUGGCAAAUGUUUCUUCUUGAUAUUGGAUGAUCUCUGGGCAGAGGAAAGGACCAACAAACAGCUGAACGAGCUACUCUCUCCACUGGAUCUUGGGCAGCAAGGAAGCAAAAUCCUGGUGACUGCUCAAAUAGACACGGCAGCUAAAGUUCUAUGUGACGAUAACAUUACUGUAAUGCCUGAUAUGCAUGAGGAGAGGUUCUAUGAGAUGUUUAUGCACCAUGCACUGAGUCCUGAAGGAGAACAUGAACACGACGAAGAACGUAAAAAACUUGGGAGGUUGAUUGCAGAAAAGCUACCCAAAUCACCUAUUGCAGCAGUAAUAGUGGCAGGGCAGCUUCGGCUGGACUAUCGUAUUGAAUUUUGGAGAAGGACUGCAAAGCGCAGCAAGUUUGUUAACACCUGGGAUGCACUUUGGUGGAGCUAUCAGAAGCUUCCUCUGGACAUCAGGAGGUGCCUAGAAUAUUGCAAUAUUUUCCCCCGAAGAACCAACUUGAAAACAGAGGACUUAGUGCGCUUGUGGAUAGCGCAAGGGUUUGUAAAGCCUAGUGCAUCAGAGGACAUGGAAGAUAUAGCUGAGGGCUAUGUUCAAAAGUUAGCUUCAUGCUCGUUUCUGAAACCAACUAUGGGGCGUGAUGAUUGCUUUACAAUUCAUGAUCUGCUGCAUGAUUUGUUGGACGAGGUCGUCGGAAGCGACUGCUUCCGAAUCGAGAAUGAAAGGAGCCAGGAAGAAGGUCCUUGGAGAAUCGAGAAAGAUGAAGGUCCUUCAAGAAUCGAGAAAGAAGAAGGCUGGAGCAGAGAUGUCCGCUAUCUUUUUGUUCAGAAUUAUGAUGCGGAAUUGAUUAUUAAGAUGGUUCUUCGGUUGAAAAACCUACGCACUCUCAUCAUUUACAUCGUUAGAAGUGAUACACCAGUUGAGGAAAUGGUAAUUGAGAGUAUAUGCAAGAGACUGCUGAAAUUGAGGGUACUGAUCAUUCAUUUCUCUAAUACAAUCUUUGAGGACCACGACAGAAUUUUCAGCUUCCCCAAAUCUGUUGGUCAGUUAAAGCACCUACGCUAUCUUGGUUUCAGGUCUUCCGCAUGGGCGGUAAUUUUACCAAGCACCCUAAAUAAACUUCACCAUAUCCAGGAGUUAGAUUUUGGCUGCCUGUCAAUUGUGAAUCCUAAAUUUACUGGCUGCCUUAUCAACUUGCUGCACAUAAUCUGCCAAUUCUGUUAUUUCCCUCACAUAGGGAGGAUGAUAUCACUCAAAACGCUACCACACUUCAGAGUAAGGGAUGAAGAAGGGUAUGAGGUAGAGCAGCUGAGGUAUCUAAACAAGCUUCGCGGCACACUGAUGAUUGAUGGGCUUGAAAAUGUAAAAAGCAAGGAGCAAGCAGAUCAAGCCAAUCUAGCUGUCAAGGAACAACUCACUGAACUGUAUUUGGUAUGGGCUCGUGGUGGUGGCACAAGGUGCAGUCCAAAAGAUGAAGCAGAGGUGCUUGAGGGUUUAUGCCCGCCUGUAGGGCUUCAAUCACUGACCAUCUGUUGCUACGAUGGUUCGAGAUACCCAGAUUGGAUGGUGGGUCGGCAUAACUGUGGCCCAAAGGACCUGCAGCAACUUCACUUCUGGAGAUGUAACCAAACGGCACCUUGUCUUGAACUUGAGACUUUCCACCAUCUUCGUGAGCUCUGGCUUAUAUACUGCAGUUGGGAUACCUUACCAGACAAUAUGGAGAACCUAACAUCGCUCAAGUUGCUAAGGAUUUUUAAAUGCUUGAAUAUCCGAUCCCUUCCAACACUGCCCAAGUCUCUUGAGGUAUUUGAACUUGAUGGCUGCAAUGAUGAGUUAACUGCAGAACAUGCAAUCUGGAAAAAGAAUAAGCGCAUGUCCAAAACCUCAAGUGAUAAAACCAAUGACUGGGACUCAGCUUCAUAUGUGAGAUUUAUGAUGACCAGGCUCUUUCUACCUUGA